rnacentral:tRNA from 1 species
GCCUCGGUGGUGUAAUAGAAAGCACGGCAGACCGGAUAUCUAUAAGUGCGGGUUCGAGUCCCGCCUCUGGUU